rnacentral:rRNA from 1 species
UAUCUCUGUAGAGUCUGCAUAUCAAUAAGCGGAGGAAAAGAAACUAACUAGGAUUCCCUCAGUAACGGCGAGUGAAGCGGGAAGAGCUCAAAUUUGAAAUCUUAAAGGGUUCUACCUUGACGAAUUGUAGUUUAGAGAAGUGUUUUCUGUUGGAGUUUUGGUAAAAGUUCUUUGGAAUAGGACAUCAUAGAGGGUGAGAAUCCCGUAUUUGACCAUUACUUUCAGCUUUGUGAUACACUUUCAAAGAGUCGGAUUGUUUGGGAAUGCAGUCCAAAAUGGGUGGUAAAUUUCAUCUAAAGCUAAAUACUGGCGAGAGACCGAUAGCGAACAAGUACCGUGAGGGAAAGAUGAAAAGAACUUUGAAAAGAGAGUUAAACAGUACGUGAAAUUGUCAAAAGGGAAGCGUUUGACACCAGUGUUGUUUUCUCGAAAAUCAAUUAAAAAAGGCAGGAUUUUGUGUUGUAUUGACUUUAUCAGCUUUCUGCACUCUUUUCUUGUCUUUUUUAAUGCACUUUUCGUUUAACAAGUCAACAUCAAUUUCUUUUGUUGUAAAAGGGUCAUUGGAAGGUGGCUUUCUUUUCGGAGAAAGUGUUUAUAGCCUUUGGCCUCUGCAAUCGGAGAGAUUGAGGUCUGCAGCGUAGAUCCUUCGGGGCUAGAUACAUUUGUGCUAAGUUAUAGCCUUUCAUAGACAACUUGUUGACUAUGAUCAGUCAUGUAGCUUACUCGCUUAUGCUAUUUUACCUACGCUUAGGAUGUUGACGAUCAGCUGAGCGCG